AGCGGCGAGUGAAGCGGCAAAAGCUCAGAUUUGGAAUCGCUUCGGCGAGUUGUGAAUUGCAGGUUGGCGCCUCUGCGGCGGCGGCGGUCCAAGUCCCUUGGAACAGGGCGCCAUUGAGGGUGAGAGCCCCGUGGGACCGUUUGCCUACGCUUUGAGGCCCUUCUGACGAGUCGAGUUGUUUGGGAAUGCAGCUCUAAGCGGGUGGUAAAUUCCAUCUAAGGCUAAAUACUGGCGAGAGACCGAUAGCGAACAAGUACUGUGAAGGAAAGAUGAAAAGCACUUUGAAAAGAGAGUGAAACAGCACGUGAAAUUGUUGAAAGGGAAGGGUAUUGCGCCCGACAUGGAGCGUGCGCACCGCUGCCCCUCGUGGGCGGCGCUCUGGGCGUGCUCUGGGCCAGCAUCGGUUUUUGCCGCGGGAGAAGGGCGGCGGGCAUGUAGCUCUUCGGAGUGUUAUAGCCUGCCGCCGGCGCCGCGAGCGGGGACCGAGGACUGCGACUUUUGUCUCGGAUGCUGGCACAACGGCGCAACACCGCCCGUCUUGAAACAUGGACCAAGGAGUCUAACGUCUAUGCGAGUGUUUGGGUGUGAAACCCCGGGCGCGUAAUGAAAGUGAACGUAGGUCGGACCGCUCCUCUCGGGGGGCGGGCACGAUCGACCGAUCCUGAUGUCUUCGGAUGGAUUUGAGUAAGAGCAUAGCUGUUGGGACCCGAAAGAUGGUGAACUA
rnacentral:rRNA from 1 species